AUGCACGCUGGCGGCGUGCCUAAUACAUGCAAGUCGAGCGAACAGAUGAGGAGCUUGCUCCUCUGACGUUAGCGGCGGACGGGUGAGUAUCACGUGGAUAACCUACCUAUAAGACUGGGAUAACUUCGGGAAACCGGAGCUAAUACCGGAUAAUAUAUUGAACCGCAUGGUUCAAUAGUGAAAGACGGUUUUGCUGUCACUUAUAGAUGGAUCCGCGCCGCAUUAGCUAGUUGGUAAGGUAACGGCUUACCAAGGCAACGAUGCGUAGCCGACCUGAGAGGGUGAUCGGCCACACUGGAACUGAGACACGGUCCAGACUCCUACGGGAGGCAGCAGUAGGGAAUCUUCCGCAAUGGGCGAAAGCCUGACGGAGCAACGCCGCGUGAGUGAUGAAGGUCUUCGGAUCGUAAAACUCUGUUAUUAGGGAAGAACAAAUGUGUAAGUAACUAUGCACGUCUUGACGGUACCUAAUCAGAAAGCCACGGCUAACUACGUG
rnacentral:rRNA from 1 species